CCACAGACCUUUUAGCUUAUUAAAAUACGAAGCUAUAUCUAAGGACCCUUGAGAGAUGUGGGACAACUCUCUUUUCAACUCAAAAAUUUUGGUCCUGUUUGCAGUGCCAUAUCCGGCAUGAAGUUGGGACCAUAUACUUUGUGCAGUAUCAGAAUAAUGCACACUUUCAGCAAUUUGUGGGGAGAGGGAGGCAGUUAACCAAGAAAUCACCAUGUUAUUGCACCUAUCCCAUAACCUUUGUUGAGCCACAUUAGUGGCUGGUCGGGAGCACGUGCCAUCAACAAAACCAAUCUUAUUUUUAGCAGAUAAUGCAACAACAUUUUUCUCCUCCAACCCCCAUAACCACUUCCCCAGAAGGGAGUGGGAACAAGAGAGACCCCAGGGACAUCAAAGGAGUAUACAAAGAGAGGACUGGUAGAGUCUACCGAGGAGGAGGUACCAGUAUUCGUAGUAGAAGUCAUGAUUAAUGCACCAGUUUGAAAAGAAAAACAGUUUCGACAAGCAAAAUAUCACGAAACUAGAUAUUCACACACGAAGCCAAAUAAUCACACACAAAGUAUACAAUACUCAAGAGAAGUACAGAGUUACCCUCCUUCUUCGCGACCGGAGAAAAUCGGCCUUCAAAAAACAGAGAAACCCUAGGUAUCAAACCCUAGGUGUAACCUUAAAAGCAACUUUACUGGAAAUGUGGUCAGGAACGUCGGAGAUGCACCCAAAACGUCCACUGAGUGAGAAUCGAGCCACCGAAAAGCAGUAGAACCCUAGGUUAAACCACCAGAAACCCUAGAAGCCGAUAGGUCACCGAGAAACCACCCGAAAGAUAACAGUAAAACGCUAGGUUAAACCACCAGAAACCCUAGAAGCAGAUAGGUCACCGAAAAAUCACCCAAAAAUCAUCGGAAAACCUCCCAGAACAUUCGAGUGGAGAAGAUAUACUCAGAUAUCACGAAGAAAAUCUUAGAAGAGCAUCCGAUUUAGAUCAGAAUCGUCAUCGACCAUAAGGUCUCAGAAACAUCCCCAAAAAAUCUCAAAAGAGACUUCAACCAAAACAACGAGAUGCAGAAAAACAUAGUCGGAUCGUCGUUUAGGCUCUGAUACCAUGUAAAUAUUGAUAUUAGACCGAAAAAUCAUGGAAAAUGUAGAGAGAGAAUCUAGAGAGAAGGAGGAGCGUUUGAGAACUCUCUAGAAUAGAGAGAGAAUUUAUUAAUCAGAAAUGAAAAUAG
rnacentral:lncRNA from 1 species